CUCUCUAAAAGGCGCUAAACUUGUGUUUUAUCCGGCGAACGGAUGAAAGUCCUGGUAGACGUUAUUUAACCGUUUACUAUAACGGUAGCUAGCUUACGUUGAAACAUUAUACGUCAUCAUACGUCAUCAUACGUAACAAAAAUGUUACGUUUAUAGCAAUACGGUUUGACAUUUUGCUCUUCAGUUAACGUUAGUAAAUGAAGUUAAACUUAGCAACCUUCCUGAAGUUAAACUAACUAAGGUUCUCAACUCCAUGCUAAAAAGUGUGUGUUAAAGCUUGGACCCUGGCUGUAAUAGCAGCACAAUGCCUUGGCUGAGUGUGUGUGGGGGCUGCCAGUGAUGGUGGUGCAGCAGUGGAGCAGUCUGACCUCCCACCGGAGGAGUGGCGUUGACAGAAGGAUGGUCCAGCAGAUAGAGGCGGCAGCAUGCUGAGCGCAGUCGCCGCACAAUGCCACAUACAAACUUCCCCGAGCUGUGGAAGUAGACUUCUUUACCUACAUGCCAACGCAGAGGUGACAACAAUAGCCAAACACACAGAGCCAAAGACAACUACAGCGGUCAAGCAUCAGCAGCCGCUCGGGUGAUCCGCUCUGCUCAGCACAUUCAAUAAGGAGAUUUAUCACACGCAACCUGAAGAGAUGAGCAGCGGCAAGAAGUAAGUGGCUUCAUUAAGCUUUACAGGAGCGCUUUUCACUCUUUGCAGGGCUACUUGAUCUCAAAUAGAUCGAAUAAGGCACACCUGUGUGUAAAGGAGCCUAUAAACAGCUACUGGUACUUAAUAUAAGGAGGAAUAAAUGCUUUGAGGUCAGGUGCACUUCAGGACAAGUGGACUGGUAAUGAGGCUGACCAGCUACAAUAAGAAGGUGAAAUUU